CCUGCCUCAUACAGGGGAUAACAGUUAGAAAUGACUGCUAAUACCGCAUAAGCGCACAGUACCGCAUGGUACCGUGUGAAAAACUCCGGUGGUAUGAGAUGGACCCGCGUCUGAUUAGGUAGUUGGUGGGGUAACGGCCUACCAAGCCGACGAUCAGUAGCCGACCUGAGAGGGUGACCGGCCACAUUGGGACUGAGACACGGCCCAAACUCCUACGGGAGGCAGCAUG
rnacentral:rRNA from 1 species